AGUCGAGGGGUAGCAUGAUUGUAGCAAUACAAUUGAUGACGACCGGCAAACGGGUGCGGAACACGUACACAACCUUCCUACAAGUGGGGAAUAGCCCAGAGAAAUUUGGAUUAAUACCCCGUAACAUAGCGAUGUGGCAUCACAUUGCUAUUAUAGCUUCGGCGCUUGUUGAUGGGUGUGCGGCUGAUUAGAUAGUUGGCGGGGUAACGGCCCACCAAGUCUACGAUCAGUAGCUGAUGUGAGAGCAUGAUCAGCCACACGGGCACUGAGACACGGGCCCGACUCCUACGGGAGGCAGCAGUAAGGAAUAUUGGACAAUGGACGCAAGUCUGAUCCAGCCAUGCCGCGUGAAGGAUUAAGGUCCUCUGGAUUGUAAACUUCUUUUAUAAGGGACGAAAAAAGGUCUUUCUAGAUCGUCUGACGGUACCUUAUGAAUAAGCACCGGCUAACUCCGUGCCAGCAACCGCGGUAAUACGGAGGGUGCAAGCGUUAUCCGGAUUCACUGGGUUUAAAGGGUGCGUAGGCGGGCAGGUAAGUCAGUGGUGAAAUCCUAGAGCUCAACUCUAGAACUGCCAUGAUACUAUCUGUCUUGAAUAUUGUGGAGGUAAGCGGAAUAUGUCAUGUAGCGGUGAAAUGCUUAGAUAUGACAUAGAACACCUAUUGCGAAGGCAGCUUACUACGCAUAUAUUGACGCUGAGGCACAAAAGCGUGGGGAUCAAACAGGAUUAGAUACCCUGNUAGUCCACGCCCUAAACGAUGGAUACUCGACAUACGCGAUACACUGUGUGUGUCUGANCGAAAGCAUUAAGUAUCCCACCUGGGAAGUACGUCCGCAAGGAUGAGACUCAAAGGGAUUGGCGGGGGUCCGCACAAGCGGUNGNNCAUGUNGUUUAAUUCGAUGAUACGCGAGGAACCUUACCUGGGCUANAAUGCAUUUUGACCGCCAGUGAAAGCUGGUUUU
rnacentral:rRNA from 1 species